rnacentral:snRNA from 1 species
AUACUUACUUGGUGCUGGACACGCGGUGAUCAUGAAAACCGUGGUCCCGUGCGGAGACCUACCAUUGCACUUAGGUUGGUUGAAGCGCGCCACUUCCCAAAAAAGGGAUAGCUGGAGCAUUUAAUUUUUGGUAGUGGGGCUCGGCGUUCGCGCCAGCCCCUG